rnacentral:tRNA from 1 species
UGGCGUAUAGCUCAGUUGGUAGAGCGCCUGACUGUUAAUCAGAGGGUCACUGGUUCGAGUCCAGUUAUGCCAG